rnacentral:rRNA from 1 species
AUUGAACGCUGGCGGCAGGCCUAACACAUGCAAGUCGAACGAGUGGCGGACGGGUGAGUAAUGUCUGGGAAACUGCCUGAUGGAGGGGUAUAAAUACUGGAAACGGUAGCUAAUACCGCAUACCAUCGGAUGUGCCCAGAUGGGAUUAGCGAGUAGGGGGGGUAAAGGGUCACCUAGGCGACGAGCCCUAGCUGGUCUGAGAGGCUGACCAGCCAGACUGGAACUGAGACACGGUCCAGACUGCUACGGGAGGCAGCAGUGGGGAAUAUGGCACAAGGGGCGCAAGCCUGAUGCAGCCAUGCCGCGUGUAUGAAGAAGGCCUUCGGGUUGUAAAGUACUUUCAGCGGGGAGGCGUUACCCGCAGAAGAAGCACCGGCUAACUCCGUGCCAGCAGCCGCGGUAAUUC